GACGAACGCUGGCGGCGUGCUUAAUACAUGCAAGUCGAACGCUUUUUCUUUCACCGGAGCUUGCUCCACCGAAAGAAAAAGAGUGGCGAACGGGUGAGUAACACGUGGGUAACCUGCCCAUCAGAAGGGGAUAACACUUGGAAACAGGUGCUAAUACCGUAUAACACUAUUUUCCGCAUGGAAGAAAGUUGAAAGGCGCUUUUGCGUCACUGAUGGAUGGACCCGCGGUGCAUUAGCUAGUUGGUGAGGUAACGGCUCACCAAGGCAACGAUGCAUAGCCGACCUGAGAGGGUGAUCGGCCACACUGGGACUGAGACACGGCCCAGACUCCUACGGGAGGCAGCAGUAGGGAAUCUUCGGCAAUGGACGAAAGUCUGACCGAGCAACGCCGCGUGAGUGAAGAAGGUUUUCGGAUCGUAAAACUCUGUUGUUAGAGAAGAACAAGGAUGAGAGUAGAACGUUCAUCCCUUGACGGUAUCUAACCAGAAAGCCACGGCUAACUACGUGCCAGCAGCCGCGGUAAUACGUAGGUGGCAAGCGUUGUCCGGAUUUAUUGGGCGUAAAGCGAGCGCAGGCGGUUUCUUAAGUCUGAUGUGAAAGCCCCCGGCUCAACCGGGGAGGGUCAUUGGAAACUGGGAGACUUGAGUGCAGAAGAGGAGAGUGGAAUUCCAUGUGUAGCGGUGAAAUGCGUAGAUAUAUGGAGGAACACCAGUGGCGAAGGCGGCUCUCUGGUCUGUAACUGACGCUGAGGCUCGAAAGCGUGGGGAGCGAACAGGAU
rnacentral:rRNA from 1 species